UAGGGAAUCUUCCACAAUGGACGCAAGUCUGAUGGAGCAACGCCGCGUGAGUGAAGAAGGUUUUCGGACCGUAAAGCUCUGUUGUUGGUGAAGAAGGAUAGAGGUAGUAACUGGCCUUUAUUUGACGGUAAUCAACCAGAAAGUCACGGCUAACUACGUGCCAGCAGCCGCGGUAAUACGUAGGUGGCAAGCGUUGUCCGGAUUUAUUGGGCGUAAAGCGAGCGCAGGCGGAAGAAUAAGUCUGAUGUGAAAGCCCUCGGCUUAACCGAGGAAUUGCAUCGGAAACUGUUUUUCUUGAGUGCAGAAGAGGAGAGUAGAACUCCAUGUGUAGCGGUGGAAUGCGUAGAUAUAUGGAAGAAUACCAGUGGCGAAGGCGGCUCUCUGGUCUGCAACUGACGCUGAGGCUCGAAAAGCAUGGGUAGCGAACAGGAUUAGAUACCCUGGUAGUCCAUGCCGUAAAACGAUGAGUGCUAAGUGUUGGGAGGCUUCCGCCUCUCAGUGCUGCAGCUAAACGCAUUAAGCACUCCGCCUGGGGGAGUACGACCGCAAGGUUGAAAC
rnacentral:rRNA from 1 species